UACGGAGGGUGCGAGCGUUGUCCGGAAUCAUUGGGCGUAAAGGGCGCGUAGGUGGCCCGGUCAGUUCGUGGUGAAAGCGCGGGGCUCAACCCUGCGUCGGCCAUGAAUACUGCCGCGGCUGGAGCACUGUAGAGGCAGGCGGAACUCCGGGUGUAGCGGUGGAAUGCGUAGAUAUCGGGAGGAACACCAGUGGCGAAGGCGACUUCCUGGCCUGUUCUUGACGCUGAGGCGCGAAAGCUAGGGUAGCAAACGGG
rnacentral:rRNA from 1 species